CGUGUAUGAUGCGAGGUUAAAUACUGUGUAAGGUAUGAAGCCGAAGGGAAACCGAGUGUGAAUAGCGCGAAGAUAUAGUAUCAUGCAGUAGACCCGAAACCGAGUGACCUAUCCAUGAGCAGGUUGAAGCUUGAGUAAAAUCAAGUGGAGGACCGAACCGGUAUUCGUUGAAAAGGAUUCGGAUGACUUGUGGAUAGCGGAGAAAUUCCAAUCGAACUCGGAGAUAGCUGGUUCUCCUCGAAAUAGCUUUAGGGCUAGCCUUGUUUAGUAGCAUGUGGAGGUAAAGCACUGAAUAUGUGAGGGUUCUUACCAGAAUACCGAUCAUUAUCAAACUCUGAAUGCCAUGUGUAUAAGAACAGGAGUCAGACAGUGACAGCUAAGUGCCAUUGUCAAAAGGGAAAGAGCCCAGACCAACAGCUAAGGUCCCAAAAUUGUAGUUAAGUGGAAAAGGAUGUGGGAAUUCAUAGACAACCAGGAUGUUGGCUCAGAAGCAGCCAUUCAUUUAAAGAGUGCGUAAAAGCUCACUGGUCGAAGUAGGCCUGCGCCGAAAAUUACCGGGGCUAAACUACAUACCGAAGCUUUGGAUUUGGUACGUAAAGUAUUAAGUGGUAGAGGAGCGUUGUAUAAAGAUUGAAGCUAUACUGAAAAGAGUAGUGGACGAUAUACAAGAGAGAAUGCCGGAAUAAGUAGCGAGAGCACAGUGAGAAUCUGUGCCGCCGAAAACCUAAGGUUUCCUGGGGAAGGUUCGUCCGCCCAGGGUAAGUCGGGACCUAAGACGAGGCUAAAGCAGCGUAGUCGAUGGAAAGCAGGUAAAAGAUUCCUGCACUACCGAAAUGCGAUAUACAAUAUAUCAUGACGCAUCAGAAGAGUCUAAGCGAGCAAAUGGAAAAGUUCGUACCGCAAGGUGGAGUGAAAAAUAGUAACGAAGUAGAUAAAUCAGGUGACAAGAAAAGUGAUAUAGGAGCAUAGAGGUACUCGUACCGUAAACCGACACAGGUAGGAAGAAAGAGAAUUUUCAGGCGAACGAGAGAAUCAUUGUUAAGGAACUCGGCAAAUUAACCCCGUAACUUAGGGAUAAGGGGAGCCAAUAGCGAUAUUGGUCGCAGAGAAAUGGCCCAAGCAACUGUUUAGCAAAAACACAGGUUUCUGCCAAAUCGAAAGAUGAAGUAUAGGAGCUGACGCCUGCCCAGUGCUGGAAGGUCAAGGGGAAGAGUAAACGUUUCGAUGUGAAGCUCUGAACUUAAGCCCCAGUGAACGGCGGCCGUAACUAUAACGGUCCUAAGGUAGCGAAAUUCCUUGUCAGGUAAGUUCUGACCCGCACGAAAGGCGUAAUGAUUUGGGCACUGUCUCGACAAUGAACUCGGCGAAAUUGUAGUACUAGUGAAGAUGCUAGUUACCUGUGAUAAGACAGAAAGACCCCAUGGAGCUUUACUGUAGCUUGAUAUUGAGACUAGGUAAGAGAUGUACAGAAUAGAUGGGAGACUAUGAGAUAAGGACGCCAGUUCUUAAGGAGUCACCUUUGGGAUACCAUCCUUCUUUUACUUGGAAUCUAACUAGUUGCCAUGAACUGGUAAUAGGACAGUGUCAGGUGGGCAGUUUGACUGGGGCGGUCGCCUCCUAAAGAGUAACGGAGGCGUUCAAAGGUCAGCUUAACACGGUCAGAAAUCGUGUGAUGACGUGCAAAGGCGUAAGCUGGCUUGACUGCAAGACUGACAGGUCGAGCAGACGCGAAAGCGGGACUUAGUGACCCGAUGGUUGUGAGUGGAAAUGCCAGAGCUCAACGGAUAAAAGUUACCCUGGGGAUAACAGGCUUAUCUCCCCCGAGAGUCCAUAUCGACGGGGAGGUUUGGCACCUCGAUGUCGG
rnacentral:rRNA from 1 species